rnacentral:rRNA from 1 species
AUUGAAUUUAAUUCAGGAUUAAAUGUUAUAUUGUAUAAUUUAAUUUAUAUUUUAUAUUUUAAUCUAAAAUUAAUAAGGAUAAGCUUAUUAAUUAAUUUAUAAUCUUAAUAUUUUGUUUAAAUUUUGUAGGAUUAAAAAUUUCCAUCAUUUAUUUUGUUAUAAUUAAUUUUAAUUUAUAUUUUAUUUUAGUUAGGUUUAAAUUUUUAUUAAAAAUAAUUAUUUAAUAAAAUAAAUAAUUGUUAUAAUGAUAAAAUUAGUAAGUAAUAUAAUUAAUAUAUAGUAAUUCGGCAAAAUUAUCCUUCACCUGUUUAACAAAAACAUGUUCUAAUGUUUAAAUUUUAUUAGAUUUGACCUGCUCAAUGAUAUUAAUUAAAUAGCCGCAGUAUUUUGACUGUGCGAAGGUAGCAUAAUCAAUUGUCUUUUAAUUGAAGGCUUGUAUGAAAGGUCGGAUGAGGGGAUAACUUUCUUUAUAUUAAAAUAUUGAAUUUAAUAUUUAAGUUAAAAAGCUUAAAUUUUUAAAAGGGACGAGAAGACCCUAUAGAAUUUUAUAUUAUUUAUAAAUUAAUUAUUUUGGUUAGUUUUUUAAAUAAUUUUAUAAAUAAUAUUUUGUUGGGGUGACAGUGAGAUUUAUUAAACUCUUAUAAUUUAUAUUAUUGUUGAUUAACAUAUUUAUGAUCCUGAUUAUUUGGAUAAUUAGAU